rnacentral:rRNA from 1 species
GAGUUUGAUCCUGGCUCAGGACGAACGCUGGCGGCGUGCUUAACACAUGCAAGUCGAACGAAAUUAAAAAAUUAUCAUUGAGCUCUCCGAUGAGAUGGGAGCCAAGCGUCGUGACCGCGGAGCGGGCACCACGCGUUCAACAAGUGCAACACCAAGUCGAAGGGUUGAAUGGUAAUUUUUUAAUUUAGUGGCAAACGGGUGAGUAACACGUAGACAACCUGCCGACAGGAUGGGGACAACAUUCCGAAAGGAAUGCUAAUACCGAGUGAAGUCAGAGGAGGGCAUCCUCCUCUGAUGAAAGAUGGCCUCUGAAUAUGCUAUCACCUGUCGAUGGGUCUGCGUCUGAUUAGCUGGUUGGUGAGGUAACGGCUCACCAAGGCGACGAUCAGUAGCCGGUCUGAGAGGAUGAACGGCCACAUUGGGACUGAGACACGGCCCAGACUCCUACGGGAGGCAGCAGUGGGGAAUCUUCCGCAAUGGGCGCAAGCCUGACGGAGCAACGCCGCGUGAGUGAAGAAGGCCUUCGGAUCGUAAAGCUCUGUUGACGGGGACGAACGUGCGGAGUGCGAAUAGCGCUUUG